rnacentral:rRNA from 1 species
GCAAAUAUUCAAAUUUCUAUAACAAACCUUAAAGAAAAUUCUCACCUUACAAAGUAUUUUAUGAAAAAUCACCUAAUUAAUCAACCGCAAGGGCUAACACUCAGCUUUUUCAAGAAAUGAUAAUUCCAUGUCCCUCUUGCAUCAUGGAGAAGCAACAAAAUCAUAGCAACCUACACUCCCGAAUGACCAUGAGCUACUAACCCUUAAAAAUCAGUGUUUCAUAAUUGAUAAAGUAACUUUUAGUAGAAGUAACAAGCCUUUCAUAUAGUCAAAUAGCUGGUUUUUCUUCAAAAGCAUCAAAGUGCUAGCUUAUAAUAUAACCCACUUCUUUAGGUUAUAAAGCUUAGCCUAUUGAGGAUAAGCUCAAUAGGGUCUCAAAAAUUUUUUAUUACUCAACCUCGUUAGUAGGCUCAAAAGCAGCCAUCUAAUAACGUUUUAGUUACUGAAAUCACCCAUUUAAUAUUUAUACAUCCUAUUUUAAAAUCAAAGAAAUUUAACAAAAAAUUUUACUGUUACUAAACAGGCAUUCUAUUAGUAUUAACAAAACCUAUUACCCAAUAAUCACUAAAAGAAUUUGGACCGAAAUAUAUUUUUAUAUAAACUAUACAAAGCGAACUCGGCAAAUCAAUUCCCUGCCUGUUUACCAAAAACAUCGUCUUUUGAUAAUCUCCCAUAAAAGAUAAUGCCUGCCCAGUGAAAUUUUAAACGGCCGCGUUAGCGUGAGCGUGCUAAGGUAGCGUAAUAAUUAGCCUUUUAAUUGGAGGCCAGUGAAUGGCAAGACUAGGAACACCUUUACUUUGUAUACAAAAAAAACUUUUCGUCUAAGCGAAAAGACUUAGAUGAUAAAGGUAGACGAAAAGACCCCGCGGAACUUUACCUUUUCCUGUACUCCCGUGCAUCCACCUAAAAGUACUUGAGGUUUGAUUGGGGCAAUCUUGGAACCAACAAAGCUUCCAACUUUUUAAAAACCUAUAUAAAAUUUACUAAAGACCAAAAAGAAGUUACCCCGGGGAUAACAGCGUAAUCCAACUAAAGAGUACAUAUCGAAAGUUGGGUUUGCGACCUCGAUGUUGGCUUAAGGAUAUCCACAUUAGUGCAACCGCUAUGACAGGAUAGUCUGUUCGACUAUUAUACCCUUACACGAGCUGAGUUAAGACCGGCGCAAGCUAGGUUGGUUUCUAUCUCCUUUACUAAAAUUCUUCUUGAUUGUACGAAAGGACCCUAAGAGCUGCACCUUUUAAAAGCAUUUUUAAAUUUAACUUUAUUUCAC